rnacentral:rRNA from 1 species
CUUUGCUGGCGACCGGCGCACGGGUGAGUAACACGUAUCCAACCUGCCCUUUACUCGGGGAUAGCCUUUCGAAAGAAAGAUUAAUACCCGAUGGCAUAAUGAUUCCGCAUGGUUUCAUUAUUAAAGGAUUCCGGUAAAGGAUGGGGAUGCGUUCCAUUAGGUUGUUGGUGAGGUAACGGCCCACCAAGCCUUCGAUGGAUAGGGGUUCUGAGAGGAAGGUCCCCCACAUUGGAACUGAGACACAGUCCAA